rnacentral:rRNA from 1 species
AUUGAACGCUGGCGGCAGGCUUAACACAUGCAAGUCGAGCGGAGAUGAGGUGCUUGCACCUUAUCUUAGCGGCGGACGGGUGAGUAAUGCUUAGGAAUCUGCCUAUUAGUGGGGGACAACAUUCCGAAAGGAAUGCUAAUACCGCAUACGCCCUACGGGGGAAAGCAGGGGAUCUUCGGACCUUGCGCUAAUAGAUGAGCCUAAGUCGGAUUAGCUAGUUGGUGGGGUAAAGGCCUACCAAGGCGACGAUCUGUAGCGGGUCUGAGAGGAUGAUCCGCCACACUGGGACUGAGACACGGCCCAGAGUCCUACGGGAGGAAGCAGUGGGGAAUAUUGGACAAGGGGCGGAAGCCUGAUCCAGCCAUGCCGCGUGUGUGAAGAAGGCCUUUUGGUUGUAAAGCACUUUAAGCGAGGAGGAGGCUACCUGGAUUAAUACUCUAGGAUAGUGGACGUUACUCGCAGAAUAAGCACCGGCUAACUCUGUGCCAGCCGCCGCCGUAAAAC